rnacentral:rRNA from 1 species
GACGAACGCUGGCGGCGUGCUUAACACAUGCAAGUCGAACGGAAAGGCCCUGCUUUUGUGGGGUGCUCGAGUGGCGAACGGGUGAGUAACACGUGAGUAACCUGCCCUUGACUUUGGGAUAACUUCAGGAAACUGAGGCUAAUACCGUAUAGCAGCUCCUGCUGCAUGGUGGGGGUUGGAAAGUUUCGGCGGUUGGGGAUGGACUCGCGGCUUAUCAGCUUGUUGGUUGGGUAGUGGCUUACCAAGGCUUUGACGGGUAGCCGGCCUGAGAGGGUGACCGGCGACAUUGGGACUGAGAUACGGACCAGACUCCUACGGGAGGCAGCAGGGGGGAAUAUUGCCCAAUGGGAGGAAGCCUGAUGAAGAAACGCCGCGUGCGGGAUGACGGCCUUCGGGUUGUAAACAGCUUUAGGCUGUGACGAAGCGGGAGUGACGGUAAUGGGUAAAGAAGCACCGGCUAACUACGUG